rnacentral:sRNA from 1 species
GGGGGCGUUUUGGAUUCGACGCCGGUUACAAAACCCAAGGUGCAUGCCGAGAUGGUGACUAAUCUCGUAAAUCCAAAGUCGCAAACUAUUAGUUGCCAACGACGACAACUACGCACUCGCC